rnacentral:snRNA from 1 species
GGGGUGAGAGCAAUCUGGGUGCAGCAUCUAUCAACCCGUUCCUCGCCAGGGUUGAUUAGGCUGGUUAGCUGGCUAGGUGGGAUGCAUCUCUCCCGAAGCCACGCCCUCCCCACUCCAUGUGUGUCCCUCCCGAAGACACGCCCUCAGUUGAAGAGGAUGACCUUCUCCAAAUAGAGGAGGAGCGACCUUCAGGCAAGGGGUGCGCUCCCCUGCUAGAACCUCCAAACAAGCUCUCAAGGGACAAGUAACAAGCUUUCUUAUAUAUCUGUAAUUGACAGCUUGAAGGUCUAACACCUGACUUCACUUCCUUUGAUGGUCUCUGGAGAGAGUGGAAGCUGAGACUCUGU